ACGAGGAGGGCUGCGAGUCCCCGCCCGGCGAGCUCACGUCAGCUCCGCGUCCCGCUUCUUCGCCUCUUCCGCCCUCCCCCCUGCUCUCCGCCACGCCGCCGUAUCGUUCCGCACUCCGCGCCCGGCACCAUCAACUUUGAUUGGUGGGAUCCGAAUUCUCCCUGCUCUCAGAUAUGACCCAGGAUAGAAGGAGAA